UGUGUGUUAGUGGAAGCGUCUGGAAAGGCGCGCGAUACAGGGUGACAGCCCCGUACACAAAAAUGCACAUGCUGUGAGCUCGAUGAGUAGGGCGGGACACGUGGUAUCCUGUCUGAAUAUGGGGGGACCAUCCUCCAAGGCUAAAUACUCCUGACUGACCGAUAGUGAACCAGUACCGUGAGGGAAAGGCGAAAAGAACCCCGGCGAGGGGAGUGAAAAAGAACCUGAAACCGUGUACGUACAAGCAGUGGGAGCCUCUUUAUGGGGUGACUGCGUACCUUUUGUAUAAUGGGUCAGCGACUUAUAUUCUGUAGCAAGGUUAACCGAAUAGGGGAGCCGAAGGGAAACCGAGUCUUAACUGGGCGUUAAGUUGCAGGGUAUAGACCCGAAACCCGGUGAUCUAGCCAUGGGCAGGUUGAAGGUUGGGUAACACUAACUGGAGGACCGAACCGACUAAUGUUGAAAAAUUAGCGGAUGACUUGUGGCUGGGGGUGAAAGGCCAAUCAAACCGGGAGAUAGCUGGUUCUCCCCGAAAGCUAUUUAGGUAGCGCCUCGUGAAUUCAUCUCCGGGGGUAGAGCACUGUUUCGGCAAGGGGGUCAUCCCGACUUACCAACCCGAUGCAAACUGCGAAUACCGGAGAAUGUUAUCACGGGAGACACACGGCGGGUGCUAACGUCCGUCGUGAAGAGGGAAACAACCCAGACCGCCAGCUAAGGUCCCAAAGUCAUGGUUAAGUGGGAAACGAUGUGGGAAGGCCCAGACAGCCAGGAUGUUGGCUUAGAAGCAGCCAUCAUUUAAAGAAAGCGUAAUAGCUCACUGGUCGAGUCGGCCUGCGCGGAAGAUGUAACGGGGCUAAACCAUG
rnacentral:rRNA from 1 species